rnacentral:rRNA from 1 species
GAUGAACGCUGGCGGCGUGCUUAACACAUGCAAGUCGAACGGAAAGGCCCGGCUUUUGUGGGGUGCUCGAGUGGCGAACGGGUGAGUAUAACACGAGUAUCCCCCCCUUAUCUUUGGGAUAUCUCAUGGAAAAGGGGGCGAUAACAGCAGAGAAUCUCUUGAUCCGCGUGGGGGGUUGGAAAAUUACGGGGGUGGGGGCUGGUCUGGCGGCUUAUGCGCUUGUUGGUGGGGUAGUGGCUUACCAGGCCUUCGACGGGUAGCCGGCCUUGGAGGGUGGCCGGCCUCAUUGGUACUGCGGUACGGACCAGACUCCUACGGGAGGCAGCAGUGGGGAAUCUUGCACAAUGGGCGCAAGCCUGAUGCAGCGACGCCGCGUGCGUGAUGACGGCCUUCGGGUUGUAAACCGCUUUCGCCUGUGACGAAGCGUGAGUGACGGUAAUGGGUAAAGAAGCACCGGCUAACUACGUG